rnacentral:rRNA from 1 species
AACGCUGGCGGCAUGCCUUACACAUGCAAGUCGAACGGCAGCACGGGGGCAACCNUGGUGGCGAGUGGCGAACGGGUGAGUAAUACAUCGGAACGUGCCCUGUAGUGGGGGAUAACUAGUCGAAAGAUUAGCUAAUACCGCAUACGACCUGAGGGUGAAAGCGGGGGACCGUAAGGCCUCGCGCUACAGGAGCGGCCGAUGUCUGAUUAGCUAGUUGGUGGGGUAAAAGCCUACCAAGGCGACGAUCAGUAGCUGGUCUGAGAGGACGAUCAGCCACACUGGGACUGAGACACGGCCCAGACUCCUACGGGAGGCAGCAGUGGGGAAUUUUGGACAAUGGGGGCAACCCUGAUCCAGCAAUGCCGCGUGUGUGAAGAAGGCCUUCGGGUUGUAAAGCACUUUUGUCCGGAAAGAAAUGGCUCUGGUUAAUACCUGGGGUCNAUGANNGUACCGGAANAAUA